CUUGGGGCUAAUCAGGGCUCACUGUGGGAGUUCAGGGGAGCUGUUGAGUGUGGGCAGUAGGUAGUUGUGGGUAGUGAGAGUUCAGGGUAUUUCCUGGGGAGGGGAGCAAUCAAAUAUCAGAGAUCCCCUGGUACAAUAUUUCCUGCUUUCUCCUCCUAACCUCUGCCUCCUAUUCAGUGCAGGAGAGUGGGGUUUUUCAAUAAAGUUUCUGCAGGCUAGAAGAUCCACCUCCCUGCUGUAUGGUUUCCUUACCACCAUUGGAUAAGUAACAAGCCCAAGGUUGACCUGAAAUGAAGGCCCUUCUGGACCCUCUGACCUGAGGGAUCAACCCUGUCUUUCUUGAGCAGAGACACCUCCACAUGGCAAGCAGAGCCUGGUUUCAUGUUGACACACACUUGGUGAUCAUGUUCCCUCAGCCCUUCCACCCGAAGGAUGACAGGGAGUGAGGCCCAGAAAGAGAAACUAAGGCACAGAGAGCCGAAUUGACUUCUCCAAACUCACUUAUGCCUUCCGCCUUUGAGAAACAACUUGCUUGCCUUUCACAGUGGUCAGUCGGACACAAGUUCCCAAGACAUAUGACCUACCCUAUCAGAUUUGCUGCUAGUGGAUCCCUGGUGACUGAUAGACCAGCUCAGUCAUUCCCUCAGAGCUUGCAAGCUCCCAGCACCAGCUGGCUUUGACAUUAGGCCCCGCCUGAUGUUACUGCUCCAGGACCUCCUCAAGUACCUCCGAUCUCCCCCUCAUUUGUCUUUGAGAGCUCCAGAUGUCUACCCACCAAACAGGAAGGAUGAGAUGUGGCAACCUCUGCUGUUUGUUUUGGCACCACUGGGCGGUGAUGACAGCACAUGUGAGGAUUGAACCUCCCAAAUUGCUUGCUUGAGUCCAGAAGAGGAGUGGAAAAGUUGAAUGCUUAAUAUGCAAAUUAGCCAGAGCCAGUUUUUGAAGAAAAUCAGACUGAGAUGAAGAGAAAUGAGGCAGCAGGUGGUUAGCCAUUUUAAUAAAAAUAAAAUUUGACCUACAGCCUGGAA